rnacentral:SRP_RNA from 1 species
GGUGAGGGUCAUACGACCAGCUCCUUCUGAAUCCCCCCAGGCCGGAAACGGAGCAAGGGUAGGAAGUCGAGCGGUGCGAUAUGAUUCCUCACCUUC